rnacentral:rRNA from 1 species
UGGGGAAUAUUGGACAAUGGGCGAAAGCCUGAUCCAGCCAUGCCGCGUGAGUGAUGAAGGCCCUAGGGUUGUAAAGCUCUUUUGUGCGGGAAGAUAAUGACGGUACCGCAAGAAUAAGCCCCGGCUAACUUCGUGCCAGCAGCCGCGGUAAUACGAAGGGGGCUAGCGUUGCUCGGAAUCACUGGGCGUAAAGGGUGCGUAGGCGGGUUUCUAAGUCAGAGGUGAAAGCCUGGAGCUCAACUCCAGAACUGCCUUUGAUACUGGAAGUCUUGAGUUCGGGAGAGGUUAGUGGAACUGCGAGUGUAGAGGUGAAAUUCGUAGAUAUUCGCAAGAACACCAGUGGCGAAGGCGGCUCACUUGCCCGAUACUGACGCUGAGGCACGAAAGCGUGGGGAGCAAACA